rnacentral:rRNA from 1 species
UCGAGAAUCUUCGGCAAUGGGCGCAAGCCUGACCGAGCGAUGCCGCGUGCGGGAUGAAGGCUUUCGGGUUGUAAACCGCUGUCGUAGGGGAGCAAGACCGCAAGGUUUGAGCGAUCCUAGGAGGAAGGACCGGCUAAGUCUGUGCCAGCAGCCGCGGUAAUACAGACGGUCCAAACGUUAUUCGGAAUUACUGGGCUUAAAGAGUUCGUAGGCGGUCAAGAAAGUGGGGUGUGAAAGCCCUCGGCUCAACCGAGGAACUGCGCUCCAAACUACUUGACUUGAGGAGGCUAGAGGUAAGCGGAACUGAUGGUGGAGCGGUGAAAUGCGUUGAUAUCAUCAGGAACACCGGAGGCGAAGGCGGCUUACUGGGGCCUUUCUGACGCUGAGGAACGAAAGCCAGGGGAGCGAACGG